AACGCACCUUGCGCUCCUCGGUAUUCCGAGGAGCAUGCCUGUUUGAGUGUCGUGAAGUCUUAUCGAAAACGGGGGUUUCGCUCCCUUUUCGGACUUGGACGGUCUUGCCCUCUCGACCCUCUGGUGUCGAAAGGGGCUCGUCUUCAAAUUCAUCGGCGAGGUUCGCCCGUCCCCCCCUUUCCAGACGUGAUCAAGUCUUGCGUCGUCCGGGGGGUGGACGCGCGCCUCCCCUUACCCUUAAUUUCUUCAAACGCCUUGACCUCAAAUCAGGCAGGACUACCCGCCGAACUUAA
rnacentral:misc_RNA from 1 species